CGCCGCCCCCGCCGCCCCCGCCGGCCCCGCCGCCGCCUCCAUUUGCAAGUUUUCAUUUCCUCGGUCGCCUGGGUGUUGGAUACCUUUAUGUAACAUUGGAAAAAUAAAGACAGGUGGACAUUCAGGUAUUAUUUGGACUGAAAACUAUGAUUAGACUUUGUGGAUGAUACUACAUUUGAAUAGAAUAUGCCAAAGGAAAUUGAGGACCAACAUCAUCACUGAAAUUGACAUAAAAGAAAAGGGGAGACUGACAGAAACGGGAUAUUUAUUAACACUGUGUCAUCAUAUUGAACAGCAUAUAAAGCCUGCUCUACCUCUGGACAUUUUGGAUUUUUGGUAGCAAAUAGCAGGUCCAGCAAAAGUGUAAUUCUUUCAAAGAUGACUGAUCAGAAAAUAAGGACAGAGAAACAUAUGAAAGCUCCUACAGAGAAGAGACAACAGAAUAAAAUAUAAAGGAACUGAAAGUUUGCAGCAUCUACACAGCAAUGGGCUCUGUCUCAUCCCACCUGCAACUGAGAGGAUCUCUGCCCUGGGGUAUGAAGACAUGAAGGCAAAUGUGAAACACACAUAAAGGACUUUCUUCUUCAAUUUGUGUCCUGCUCCAUUGCUUUCUACAACAAAGGGAGAAAGAUCUGAGAAGUUUCUGGAGUUUCUUCUCUAUUUUAUUUAAUUUGCAUAGCAAUAAGCCAGUGGUUUCAAAAGUUGUAGCAGAAGGAUGGGACCAUUUUGAGUUUCUGCAUGAAUAGUUUUCCUCUGGGAAAGAUAAUUUAUAAAUAUAUAUUUAUAUUUAUAAAUAGUUUCCUUGCAUCUUAGUCCUUAAGCUCAGGACAAAUUGUAUCCUUUUAAUUUUUUCCCUUGGUCCAAUACCUAGUAAAGACUUUGAACAGAC